CCUGGUGGCUCAGAGGGUAAAGCGUCUGCCUGCAAUGCAGGAGACUCAGGUUCGAUCCCUGGGUCAGGA
rnacentral:tRNA from 1 species